UACGUAGGGGGCAAGCGUUGUCCGGAAUCAUUGGGCGUAAAGAGCGUGUAGGCGGCCAGGUAGGUCUGCUGUGAAAACUCGAGGCUCAACCUCGAGACGUCGGCGGAAACCAUCUGGCUAGAGUCCGGAAGAGGAGAGUGGAAUUCCUGGUGUAGCGGUGAAAUGCGCAGAUAUCAGGAAGAAACCAGCCCGUAGGCGGAAGGCGGCGUCCUACUGGGCCGAAAUUGACGCGUGAGGGAAGCGAAAGGGCAGUGGGGGAGCAAACAGG
rnacentral:rRNA from 1 species